GCGGGCGUGGCGAAACUGGUAGACGCAACGGACUUAAAAUCCGUAGGGCCGCGAGGCCUGUGCCGGUUCGAUUCCGGCCGCCCGCACCA
rnacentral:tRNA from 1 species